rnacentral:rRNA from 2 species
CUUCCCAUUCCGAACAGAGAAGUUAAGCCCGGUCACGCCGAUGGUACUGCGUAACAGUGGGAGAGUAGGUAGUCGCCGUUU